CUAGGAAAACUAUUCAGAUUGUGAGGUCCGCCAGUCGCUUGAGUCUGACUGGCUAGUGUAGCUUGACCGCUCCUCUCUCACUCAGUCUUGCUCUAGUACUCGUGGAGGGUGCAUGUGGGUGGACGAAUUUGGAUGUUAUUCUAAUACAAGUGAACGGUUGAUUGAACUAUACGUGAUAAGUAGAUAUUGUGGAUUUGUCAACCAGACGGAAACAACAACAACAACAACAACAACAACAACAAAACACGAACCGGAUGUAAAGAAGAACAAGAAUCAGUGUUGUGUUGUGAAGAAAUACAAUAAUAAACUCCUAGUCAAGAAAUUACAAAUACAUGAUAGGUUGAUGAUGUAGAGAGAGAGAGAGAGAGAGUGAAAGUGAGAAAGUGAGAAGAAAAAAGUGAGAAAGAGAAAAAGUGUUGUAUAUUAAGAGAAGAAAAGAUAGAUAAUGCAGAGGUGAUAAAGUGCGUGGGAGGAGUGAGA